GCUGUAACUCAGAGGUAGAGCUUUGGCUUUGCAUGCCUAAGGCCCCAGAUUCUACCUCUGGUAUCUCCA